UCUGGUGACGAUGCCUAAAUGGUUCCACCUGUACCCAUACCGAACACAGUAGUUAAGCAUUUAGAGGCCGAAAGUACUUGCAUGGAGACGUGCUGGGAGGAUAGGAAGUUGCCAGUU
rfam:Megamonas funiformis YIT 11815 genomic scaffold supercont1.8, whole genome shotgun sequence.